UACGGGGGGGGCAAGCGUUGUUCGGAAUUGCUGGGCGUAAAGGGCUCGUAGGCGGCCAACUAAGUCAGACGUGAAAUCCCUCGGCUUAACCGGGGAACGGCCUCUGAUACUGGCUGGCUGGAGUUCGGGAGAGGGAUGCGGAAUUCCAGGUGUAGCGGUGAAAUGCGUAGAUAUCUGGAGGAACACCGGUGGCGAAGGCGGCAUCCUGGACCGACACUGACGCUGAGGAGCGAAAGCCAGGGGAGCAAACGGG
rnacentral:rRNA from 1 species